AUCCUGGCUCAGGAUGAACGCUAGCGGCAGGCUUAAUACAUGCAAGUCGAGGGGCAGCGCAGUGUAGCAAUACAUGGGCGGCGACCGGCAAACGGGUGCGGAACACGUACAGAACCUUCCUUCGAGCGGGGAAUAGCCCAGAGAAAUUUGGAUUAAUACCCCAUAGUAUUGUGGAGUGGCAUCACUCUACAAUUAAAGAUUUAUCACUUGAAGAUGGCUGUGCGGCUGAUUAGGUAGUUGGCGGGGUAACGGCCCACCAAGCCUUCGAUCAGUAACUGGUGUGAGAGCACGACCAGUCACACGGGCACUGAGACACGGGCCCGACUCCUACGGGAGGCAGCAGUAAGGAAUAUUGGUCAAUGGACGAAAGUCUGAACCAGCCAUGCCGCGUGGAGGAUGAAGGUCCUCUGGAUUGUAAACUUCUUUUAUCUGGGACGAAAAAAGACUUUUCUAAGUCGUCUGACGGUACCAGAUGAAUAAGCACCGGCUAACUCCGUGCCAGCAGCCGCGGUAAUACGGAGGGUGCAAGCGUUAUCCGGAUUCACUGGGUUUAAAGGGUGCGUAGGUGGGUUGGUAAGUCAGUGGUGAAAUCUCCGAGCUUAACUUGGAAACUGCCAUUGAUACUAUCAGUCUUGAAUAUUUGUGGAGGUCAGCGGAAUAUGUCAUGUAGCGGUGAAAUGCUUAGAGAUGACAUAGAACACCAAUUGCGAAAGCAGCUGGCUACGCAUAUAUUGACACUGAGCACGAAAGCGUGGGGAUCAAACAGAUUAGAUACCCUGGUAGUCCACGCCCUAAACUAUGGAUACUCGACAUACGCGAUACACAGUGUGUGUCUGAGCGAAGCAUUAGUAUCCCCCUGGGAGUACGAUCGCAG
rnacentral:rRNA from 1 species